rnacentral:rRNA from 1 species
UACGUAGGGGGCAAGCGUUGUCCGGAAUUAUUGGGCGUAAAGAGCUCGUAGGCGGUUUGGUGAGUCGGGUGUGAAAUCUCCACGCUCAACGUGGAGGGGCCACCCGAUACUGCCAUGACUAGAGUCCGGUAGGGGAGUGUGGAAUUCCCGGUGUAGCGGUGAAAUGCGCAGAUAUCGGGAGGAACACCAGUAGCGAAGGCGGCUCGCUGGGCCGGUCCUGACGCUGAGACGCGAAGGCGUGGGGAGCGAACGGG